rnacentral:rRNA from 1 species
AGUGAACGCUGGCGGUAGGCCUAACACAUGCAAGUCGAACGGCAGCACAGUAAGAGCUUGCUCUUACGGGUGGCGAGUGGCGGACGGGUGAGGAAUACAUCGGAAUCUACUUUUUCGUGGGGGAUAACGUAGGGAAACUUACGCUAAUACCGCAUACGACCUACGGGUGAAAGCAGGGGAUCUUCGGACCUUGCGCGAUUGAAUGAGCCGAUGUCGGAUUAGCUAGUUGGCGGGGUAAAGGCCCACCAAGGCGACGAUACGUAGCUGGUCUGAGAGGAUGGUCGGCGACACUGGAACUGAGACACGGUCCAGACUCCUACGGGAGGCAGCAGUGGGGAAUAUUGGACAAUGGGCGCAAGCCUGAUCCAGCCAUAGCGCGUGGGUGAAGAAGGCCUUCGGGUUGUAAAGCCCUUUUGUUGGGAAAGAAAAGCAGCAGGUUAAUACCCCGCUGUUCUGACGGUACCCAAAGAAUAAGCACCGGCUAACUACGUG